GGGGCUGUUUUUGGAUUUGACAAAAUUAUCAAAAAAAUAAAGUGCAUGCCGAGGGACGGUUUGCCUCGAUAAAAACCGUAAAAAAAUAUCUGCAAAUUAUCAAAAACAAUACGCUUUAGCAGCUUAAAAAACUACAUAAAGCCCUUCCUUCUCAGCCUUUUCUCUUAGGAAGAGAAUACAGGAAGGUCAAAACAAGAGAAAACGUGGCCAUCAAGCUUGAUGAUGUAACACGAAAUAUUUUCAAGCUAUAUUCUUAAUUUUUGUUUUUUCAAAUUAGGAAAGGAACUUUAAAAAAAACUAAGCAUGUAGUACUUUAUUUAUAGAAAUUUUGGACGCGGGUUCAAAUCCCGCCAGCUCCAA
rnacentral:tmRNA from 1 species